CGGGCAUCCUGAUCAGUUAGCCGCCGGGUGAGCAGAUCUCGCCACUUUAUUAUUUUGCCUUUUUUGUUUUUGUCGGUAACCCUGAGGAGGGAGUGCGCUGGCUUUGGGUUGUUGCAGCUGGCCAGUCUCGGUCAGAUGUAAUUUCCUGCGGUUGGUGUCACUUCGAGCUCGGCAAGCCGACGAAGACUAGGUGAGGUUUUGUAAGUAUUGUGGUAGGUAGUUAGGGGUUGGGGUGUCUCGGCUUGUGUUUUUUCGUAGCUCCUUGUUUGGGAGUUACCUGUUACGCAGGAAGAGUUGGAGAGUGAGCAGCGAGCCGACGCGUCCCUGAAGGGACUGUUUGACAUGGUGUUGCCUGCGUCGGAGUCGGUGCCUGCCGGGGUGGAGGAUGGUCUGCCCGACGCUGAUGCUGGGGUGCAGCAAGGUCGUUUAAAAACUCUGAGUCCUUGAACAAAUUACAUCUUCUGUUGGGCCAUCUGUCUGAGUCACAACAAGCCGACCUAGUUGAAGUGAUAAGUUCCUUCCCAUCUCUGUUUGGUGACACUCCUACUCAAACAAAUGUAAUUGAACAUGAUAUAGAUGUAGGUGAUGCACUCCCAAUUCGCCAAAGGUUUUACCGCGUUAGUCCUGAAAAACGUGUGUCCCUUGAUGCGGAAGUGAAGUAUAUGUUGGAUAAUUGUAUUGCUGUUCCUCCUU
ensembl:lncRNA